AACCCAGAUCCGUCACAUAGCACAGACAGGGAUGUAGGUUCCGACACUUCUACCGAGCAGGCAGAUGUUCGGGGAAAGGGAAAGGAACCUCCCUUACAUCAACACCUCAGCACAAUAUUAUGCGAUGAGGACUACACAAUUUCCACAAACCCCGUAGAAGUGAUAAAAAAUGUCUAUCACAAAAAUUAAUAAAGAGAUUGUUGCUUUGGUAUGUAUGACCCCUCAGACUAAUGAGAUAAAAGAUAGGCUGAUUCAAUUGAUGCAAGCAUCAAAAAACAUGCAAAAUUUCAUGUGUGAUCAUCAACCUGGUGGACAUGAUCAUGGUAUUGUAGGUAGUGCAGGUGCGGCCAAUGUUCCUGUGGAAAGGCCGCCUCAUUCAAGGUUAUUACCGACUGCAAUAUUGGCAACAGGAAGCAUGUAGAUGUCCUCUACUGCUCGUCAUGUUGACCCACCCACUGUUGCAAAAGAUGCACAUGAGGAUGCACUAGAGGCGAAUACUAGUGAUACCAUAACAUCAUUUCCUGGAUAUUCCCGUAUUGCUAAUAUGGGAACAUUGCAGACCAGAUUGGUGGUGAGCGACGAAGAAUUGAUUCCCUUGAAGA